rnacentral:rRNA from 1 species
CUGGUCGGACAUCAGGAGGUUAGUGCAAUGGCAUAAGCCAGCUUGACUGCGAGCGUGACGGCGCGAGCAGGUGCGAAAGCAGGUCAUAGUGAUCCGGUGGUUCUGAAUGGAAGGGCCAUCGCUCAACGGAUAAAAGGUACUCCGGGGAUAACAGGCUGAUACCGCCCAAGAGUUCAUAUCGACGGCGGUGUUUGGCACCUCGAUGUCGGCUCAUCACAUCCUGGGGCUGAAGUAGGUCCCAAGGGUAUGGCUGUUCGCCAUUUAAAGUGGUACGCGAGCUGGGUUUAGAACGUCGUGAGACAGUUCGGUCCCUAUCUGCCGUGGGCGCUGGAGAACUGAGGGGGGCUGCUCCUAGUACGAGAGGACCGGAGUGGACGCAUCACUGGUGUUCGGGUUGUCAUGCCAAUGGCACUGCCCGGUAGCUAAAUGCGGAAGAGAUAAGUGCUGAAAGCAUCUAAGCACGAAACUUGCCCCGAGAUGAGUUCUCCCUGACUCCUUGAGAGUCCUGAAGGAACGUUGAAGACGACGACGUUGAUAGGCCGGGUGUGUAAGCGCAGCGAUGCGUUGAGCUAACCGGUACUAAUGAACCGUGAGGCUUAACCUUACAACGCCGAAGCUGUU